UACGUAGGGGGCAAGCGUUGUCCGGAAUCAUUGGGCGUAAAGAGCGUGUAGGCGGCUCGGUAAGUCCGCUGUGAAAGUCCAGGGCUCAACCCUGGAAUGCCGGUGGAAACUGUCGAGCUAGAGUCCGGAAGAGGCGAGUGGAAUUCCUGGUGUAGCGGUGAAAUGCGCAGAUAUCAGGAGGAACACCAAUGGCGAAGGCAGCUCGCUGGGACGGUACUGACGCUGAGACGCGAAAGCGUGG
rnacentral:rRNA from 1 species